rnacentral:rRNA from 1 species
AGGACGAACGCUGGCGGCGUGCUUAACACAUGCAAGUCGAGCGGAAAGGCCCUUCGGGGUACUCGAGCGGCGAACGGGUGAGUAACACGUGAGUAAUCUGCCCAUAGCUCUGGGAUAGCUCCGGGAAAACCGGGAUUAAUACCGGAUAUGACCACUUUAGACAUCUGCUGUGGUGGAAAGAAUUUCGGCUAGGGAUGAGCUCGCGGCCUAUCAGCUUGUUGGUGGGGUAACGCCUACCAAGGCGACGACGGGUA